UACGGAGGGAGCUAGCGUUGUUCGGAAUUACUGGGCGUAAAGCGCGUGUAGGCGGCAAUACAAGUCGGAUGUGAAAUCCCGCGGCUUAACCGUGGAAGUGCACCCGAAACUGUAUCGCUAGAGUCCCGGAGAGGAUGGUGGAAUACUUGGUGUAGAGGUGAAAUUCGUAGAUAUCAAGUGGAACACCGGUGGCGAAGGCGGCCAUCUGGACGGUGACUGACGCUGAGACGCGAAAGCGUGGGUAGCAAACAGG
rnacentral:rRNA from 1 species